rnacentral:rRNA from 1 species
CAGUAGCCACGGUAAUACGAAGGGGGCUAGCGUUGUUCAGAAUUACUGGGCGUAAAGCGCACGUAGGCGGACAUUUAAGUCAGGGGUGAAAUCCCGGGGCUCAACCCCGGAACUGCCUUUGAUACUGGGUGUCUAGAGUAUGGAAGAGGUGAGUGGAAUUCCGAGUGUAGAGGUGAAAUUCGUAGAUAUUCGGAGGAACACCAGUGGCGAAGGCGGCUCACUGGUCCAUUACUGACGCUGAGGUGCGAAAGCGUGGGGAGCAAACAGGAUUAGAUACCCGUGUAGUCCCUGUCUCUUAUAC